UACAGGAACAAGCUCACACCAAGCGCAAAACAGCGGUGUUUGGAGAAGCUCUCAGGCAGCUCCCUGCAGCGGCACAGAGACCUGAACAAUUUACCUCAGUGCACACAUAUGGACAUUGGGAAUUAUAUUGUUUACGAUGUAGCAGGAUGCUUGGUCCAUUACAUCCUGACGGAUGGACAACACCCUGAUCAGACAACUACACCCUACACCAAGGAUCCACUUGGUCUGUCUCUACAUGUCAGAACGAGUAACUUCAGUCUUCAAUGGGAUGAAAGACUAAACAUAUCUUAAGCAGAAUGAUGAGCAAAUCAUUGGAAGAGCAUCCUACUAUUGAGGAAAGCCUUCAGGAAGUCAAAACUAUGUGCAAAGACUUAUUGUAGAGUUUACAAUAAGCAUUAAAAUGAUUGGAUAUAAGUAUUAGUGUGAAUUUACAGGUUUGAUCACCAGUCUUAUCAAAUAUCAACCACAAACAGCUACAGCUCAGAAAAGACUUCAGCCUUCAGUCUCGGAUACAUCAGUAAAUCACUAGUGCCAUUAAAUCAAAACGCAAGAGCCAGAAAGCCCUGGUCAGAAACAGAGAGGAAAGUCAUAGAACACUGUUUCAAGAACUACUUUGAGGAAAUGAAGGCUCCUGGAAAAGUGGACUGAGAAAGAUGCAUAAAUGAAAACAGGAUUCUAAAGGGUAAUGGAAGAGACUGGAAAACAGUUAAAUACUUUGUGCUCAACAGAAUAAUUUCAGUUAAGAGAAGUUUGGGUGAACAGUACUGAGCCCAUAAACCCUGAGAGCUUGUGAUGUGGAGUAUCAGUGUUGAGUCCUAACUGUGCCGUGACACUGAAGGUCCAUGUACAUGCAGCAUCAGUGCCUCAUAGCAUUGAAAUGAUUGACUACAGCUGUUUUCAGCUCCUGUUUGGGACUCUGUUUUAGACCUGUUAUAACUUUGAUGUAAGCCACUGUAAUUUUGAACUAUUUAAUUUUUUUUUUAAAUAAACAAAUUUUAUUAUUUUCAUUUUGAUUUGUUGUUUUACUUUUCUUGGCAAUGUUGAUAAUAAAAAUGGAGCCCCUAAAUCAA